rnacentral:rRNA from 1 species
UACGUAGGGUGCGAGCGUUAAUCGGAAUUACUGGGCGUAAAGCGUGCGCAGGCGGUUCGUUAAGUCAGCUGUGAAAGCCCCGGGCUCAACCUGGGAAUUGCGGUUGAAACUGGCGGACUAGAAUCUGGCAGAGGGGGGUGGAAUUCCACGUGUAGCAGUGAAAUGCGUAGAGAUGUGGAGGAACACCGAUGGCGAAGGCGGCCAUCUGGACGACAACUGACGCUGAGGCGCGAAAACGUGGGGAUCAAACAGG